CCCAGUGAGCAGAAUAGUGAAAACAUAUAUUAAAAUUUCAUGCCAUUAUGUAAUGCAACACAUCACAACUAAUCACAUCUCGGAUGGUAUUGUCACCUAUAGUCCUCUACAUAGUCCAACUGUGUCGGGACGUAGAAUGGGUACAACCGGUCUUUCUCUUAACAUAACAUAUCAUACAGUCCAACUGUGCCAGGGACGUAGAAUGGGUACAACCUGGACUUCC
rnacentral:lncRNA from 1 species